UACGUAGGGGGCAAGCGUUGUCCGGAAUCAUUGGGCGUAAAGAGCGUGUAGGCGGUCCGUUAAGUCGGCUGUGAAAGUCCAAGGCUCAACCUUGGGAUGCCGGUCGAUACUGCCGGACUAGAGUUCGGAAGAGGCGAGUGGAAUUCCCGGUGUAGCGGUGAAAUGCGCAGAUAUCGGGAGGAACACCUAUGGCGAAGGCAGCUCGCUGGGACGUUACUGACGCUGAGACGCGAAAGCGUGGGGAGCGAACAGG
rnacentral:rRNA from 1 species